rnacentral:rRNA from 1 species
GACGAACGCUGGCGGCGUGCUUAACACAUGCAAGUCGAACGGAAAGGCCCUGCUUUUGUGGGGUGCUCGAGUGGCGAACGGGUGAGUAACACGUGAGUAACCUGCCCUUGACUUUGGGAUAACUUCAGGAAACUGGGGCUAAUACCGGAUAGGAGCUCCUGCUGCAUGGUGGGGGUUGGAAAGUUUCGGCGGUUGGGGAUGGACUCGCGGCUUAUCAGCUUGUUGGUGGGGUAGUGGCUUACCAAGGCUUUGACGGGUAGCCGGCCUGAGAGGGUGACCGGCCAAAUGGGGACUGAGAUACGGCCCAGACUCCUAGGGGAGGCAGCAGGGGGGAAUAUUGAACAAGGGGGGGAAGCCUGAUGCAGCAACGCCGCGGGGGGGAUGACGGCCUUGGGGUUGUAAACCGCUUUCGCCUGGGACGAAGGGGGAGUGACGGUAAUGGGGAAAGAAGCACCGGCUAACUACGU